GAAGGAUGAUAAAAGAAUGUGGAAACGGCCAAAUAAGGCACAAUGUUAUCUGGUGUGAACUAAUCAGAGUGGGACAUGACAGCACGGUUAUCUAGGUAAAAAUGUAUAUAAGCUGUGUUUAGUAGUGAAUAAACGCCAUUUGCCUCACUUACUCCUGGGGUCUGGGUGAGCAUCUGGCCCCGACCUGGUAAAGGGUCGGUUUCGCCCAGCAGUAAGCCCUACAUGUGGACAGAGGACGAACACCGGAUGAGCGAACGGAGACUACAUGCAACAAGUGGUGACCCCGACGUGAUCUGUCUGCUGAGGGUGGCUGCCCGGCGUGCCCGUGACGCGGAGAAGAGCCUGUGAGGUGGCGGCAGGUCGCGCACGGAAGACGUAUUGCGGUUAAGAGCCUGCGAGGUGGCGGCAGGUCGCAUACGUAACAAUGGACCAAGUCAUUAAGACCGAAGCCAACUCCAGAACAACUGAGGGACAGACGAUGGGAUCAAGAACCAUUCGUCAAGAGGAGCACUACACCUGCAACGCUGACACUUCCGAUGUUGCUGAUAUUUAUGGUGUCCAUGGCGAUUACAGAGUGUCACAAACAACUACAAUGGACACAAGAACAUAUGCAGAAGAUUAAAGAAGAGCGUGAUCCCUUUGGAAGCUGGCUGGACGGACUGUUUGGGGGAACGGGUUCAUGGUUAAAGCAAUUGCUUAAAGCUCUCGCAGUAGGAUUUGCAAUCUUUGUGUGUAUUCUAAUCUGUCUUCCAUGCUUUGUAGGAUGCUUGCCUUCAACGAAUGAUGGAAAAGACUUUUGACUAUCACAUUGAGUAUCAUAGAUUGCGUGAAAAAUUAUAGAGGGGUUUAGGUUGUUGCGUUCGUGCUGUAACGGGGCAAGGCUUGGCCGAGCACGGAAAAGAAUUCCCUGUUGCUCUGAUGAUUGCUUAAGAACUGUAGUAGAAAAUAGUAGGAAUAGUGUGCUGAAAUAUAUUUAGGAUUAGGCGUUUUGCGCUGCUUCGCGAUGUACGGGUUAGGUGUGUGUGUAAGUAGUAUUUAGCUUAGGGAGGGGGAGAUGUUGUAGUAGGCGUCUUGCGGGGGCACGGGAUGUACGGGACAGGCCUCUCCCUAAACAUAGAGAGAUAGUGCUAUCGUGCUGACCUUGUUGCAGAGAAAACAGGAGAAGAAGAAGGAUGAUAAAAGAAUGUGGAAACGGCCAAAUAAGGCACAAUGUUAUCUGGUGUGAACUAAUCAGAGUGGGACAUGACAGCACGGUUAUCUAGGUAAAAAUGUAUAUAAGCUGUGUUUAGUAGUGAAUAAACGCCAUUUGCCUCACUUACUCCUGGGGUCUGGGUGAGCAUCUGGCCCCGACCUGGUAAAGGGUCGGUUUCGCCCAGCAGUAAGCCCUACAUGUGGACAGAGGACGAACACCGGAUGAGCGAACGGAGACUACAUGCAACACACUCUGGAUACAUUUUUUCUUCUAAAUGCAUGUCACUAUUUUGUGCAUCAAGAGCAGGUUUUAUAAUCCACUUGCUUCUGAUAGACAAAACUGUUCUCAUGUAGUUUCAUUGAUUUCAAGGAAGUUUAAUGUCUUCUUUAUGUAAAUGUAAAUAACUGAACAAGUUUUAGCUCUGGUAGCUGAAAUAUUUUCAGUGCUCAGUUAAGGGAACAAAAAAAAGUUGAUCUUUCUCAUUUUUAGGAUUGUGACAUAGGCAGGAACAAAUAGUUCAAAAAUAGAGAGCAGGGCAUUCUGAAGAAAGACAUAGAAGUAACUUUUAGUGGGUUUUUGUUUGUUUUUGUUACUUUUUGUAUUAUUUAUAAGAUACUUUUUUUCUACUUUUUUCUGGGUUUCAUCUGUUGGUUGAAUCAUUAAUAAAAGUAAAGCUUUGAUAUCUUUACUGAUAGUCACAUAUGGAAUCAAGUCACCUUUGAAAAUAGAAUUAUGAAGUUUACAUAAAUAAUAUUUAAUUUUUUUUUUGUUUGAAUCUUUUGUUGUUUUUGUUGUUUUCACUUCCAUGCUCUUUUUGUGUUGUUGUUUUCAGUUAUUAAAAUGUUCUUUUCUUAAUAGCACCUUACAUAUCAUUAGGAAAAAAAAAAACAUACAUUAAUAGCAAAGGCGUGCUAACUCAUAGUAGCACCCACAAAUUUCUCAGCUAUUGAUAACAGCCCAUACGGAAUAUAUUACUUGGUUUAGGGAGAAGAUUAAGAGGAAGCUAGUUAGACUAUCUGCUAUUUGGUUCUUCAUCUUGCAUUUGCAAGAUGACCCCUUUUUAAAGGGCUCUAUUAUCAAUGGAUGAAAAAGGAAGCUUUUCUUCUUUCCAAUCUGAGAUCCUCAUUUAGGCACUUCAGCUAAUUUCCUAAAGAUAGGUGGAUUGUUACAACCUCAGAAUGAGUAGUAUAACUCUUUCAUUUCUGUUCCACAGUUUGUACAUCUUUAAAAAGAAUGUUAAUUGCCUGGACCAGAAAUAUAGGUGAUUGACUUCUUAAAAGAUCUGGUUUUGGAUGCUGUGUCCGAAAGUCAGUACAUAAAUCUACAUCUAGGAAACUAAAAAUGAUUUGGCUUUCAGAGUGCUGAAUCACUUCAGAAACCUGGGACUGCAUACCUUACUUUAUUUAGUGUAGCUGUACAUGUAUAAAAAGAUGCCUGUCCAUUGGAAGACACAGAUGUCAACAGUAAAUACUGGAAAGUGUUGCAAACACAAAUUGACAUCUAAACCCCUUGAUUUACAGUCAAGAUACUGAUAUUGCUGUUUAUAAAAAUAAUCUAUGUGCUCUUUUUCAAUAUCUAUUUUUCAUCAAAUGGGGUAAAACUGUAAGUUGUUUGGAAUUUACUGAAGCAAAAAAUAUUUUAAAUGCUUUUUUCUUUAAAAUAACCAUUUCUAUUUCCCUAAGCAAAA
ensembl:lncRNA